rnacentral:rRNA from 1 species
AGUCGAACGGUAACAGAAAAAAGCUUGCUUUUUUGCUGACGAGUGGCGCACGGGUGAGUAACGCGUAUACAAUCUACCUUUUACAGUGGGAUAGCCCAGAGAAAUUUGGAUUAAUACCGCAUAGUAUUAUUAGUUGGCAUCAAUUGAUAAUUAAAGUUUCGGCGGUAAAAGAUGAGUAUGCGUUCUAUUAGCUAGAUGGUAAGGUAACGGCUUACCAUGGCAACGAUAGAUAGGGGCCCUGAGAGGGGGAUCCCCCACACUGGUACUGAGACACGGACCAGACUCCUACGGGAGGCAGCAGUGAGGAAUAUUGGACAAUGGGCGCAAGCCUGAUCCAGCCAUGCCGCGUGCAGGAAGACUGCCCUAUGGGUUGUAAACUGCUUUUAUACAGGAAGAAACACCCCGACGUGUCGGGGCUUGACGGUACUGUAAGAAUAAGGAUCGGCUAACUCCGUGCCAGCAGCCGCGGUAAUACGGAGGAUCCAAGCGUUAUCCGGAAUCAUUGGGUUUAAAGGGUCCGUAGGUGGAUAAUUAAGUCAGGGGUGAAAGUCUGCAGCUCAACUGUAGAAUUGCCUUUGAUACUGGUUAUCUUGAGUUAUUAUGAAGUAGUUAGAAUAUGUGGUGUAGCGGUGAAAUGCAUAGAUAUCACAUAGAAUACCAAUUGCGAAGGCAGAUUACUAAUAAUAUACUGACACUGAUGGACGAAAGCGUGGGGAGCGAACAGGAUUAGAUACCCUGGUAGUCCACGCCGUAAACGAUGGUUACUAGCUGUUCGAACUUCGGUUUGAGUGGCUAAGCGAAAGUGAUAAGUAACCCACCUGGGGAGUACGUUCGCAAGAAUGAAACUCAAAGGAAUUGACGGGGGCCCGCACAAGCGGUGGAGCAUGUGGUUUAAUUCGAUGAUACGCGAGGAACCUUACCAGGGCUUAAAUGUAGAUUGACAGGUUUAGAGAUAGACUUUUCUUCGGACAAUUUACAAGGUGCUGCAUGGUUGUCGUCAGCUCGUGCCGUGAGGUGUCAGGUUAAGUCCUAUAACGAGCGCAACCCCUGUUGUUAGUUGCCAGCGAGUCAUGUCGGGAACUCU